rnacentral:rRNA from 1 species
AUUGAACGCUGGCGGAAUGCUUUACACAUGCAAGUCGAACGGCAGCACGGGGCAACCUGGUGGCGAGUGGCGAACGGGUGAGUAAUACAUCGGAACGUGCCCAAUCGUGGGGGAUAACGUAGCGAAAGUUACGCUAAUACCGCAUACGAUCUACGGAUGAAAGCGGGGGAUCGCAAGACCUCGCGCGAAUGGAGCGGCCGAUGUCAGAUGAGGUAGUUGGUGGGGUAAAGGCUCACCAAGCCGACGAUCUGUAGCUGGUCUGAGAGGACGUCCAGCCACACUGGGGCUGAGACACGGCCCAGACUCCUACGGGAGGCAGCAGUGGGGAAUUUUGGACAAUGGGCGCAAGCCUGAUCCAGCCAUUCCGCGUGCAGGAUGAAGGCCUUCGGGUUGUAAACUGCUUUUGUACGGAGCGAAAAGGCUCUCUCUAAUACAGGGGGCUCAUGACGGUACCGUAAGAAUAAGCACCGGCUAACUACGUGCCAGCAGCCGCGGUAACAC